rnacentral:rRNA from 1 species
AAAUUGAAGAGUUUGAUCAUGGCUCAGAUUGAACGCUGGCGGCAGGCCUAACACAUGCAAGUCGAACGGUAACAGGAAGAAGCUUGCUUCUUUGCUGGCGAGUGGCGGACGGGUGAGUAAUGUCUGGGAAACUGCCUGAUGGAGGGGGAUAACUACUGGAAACGGUAGCUAAUACCGCAUAACGUCGCAAGACCAAAGAGGGGGACCUUCGGGCCUCUUGCCAUC